AGGAGCUUGCUCUUCUUGGAUGAGUUGCGAACGGGUGAGUAACGCGUAGGUAACCUGCCUUGUAGCGGGGGAUAACUAUUGGAAACGAUAGCUAAUACCGCAUAACAAUGGAUGACCCAUGUCAUUUAUUUGAAAGGGGCAAAUGCUCCACUACAAGAUGGACCUGCGUUGUAUUAGCUAGUAGGUGAGGUAACGGCUCACCUAGGCGACGAUACAUAGCCGACCUGAGAGGGUGAUCGGCCACACUGGGACUGAGACAUGGCCCAGACUCCUACGGGAGGCAGCAGUAGGGAAUCUUCGGCAAUGGGGGCAACCCUGACCGAGCAACGCCGCGUGAGUGAAGAAGGUUUUCGGAUCGUAAAGCUCUGUUGUAAGUCAAGAACGAGUGUGAGAGUGGAAGGUUCACACUGUGACGGUAGCUUACCAGAAAGGGACGGCUAACUACGUGCCAGCAGCCGCGGUAAUACGUAGGUCCCGAGCGUUGUCCGGAUUUAUUGGGCGUAAAGCGAGCGCAGGCGGUUUGAUAAGUCUGAAGUUAAAGGCUGUGGCUCAACCAUAGUUCGCUUUGGAAACUGUCAAACUUGAGUGCAGAAGGGGAGAGUGGAAUUCCAUGUGUAGCGGUGAAAUGCGUAGAUAUAUGGAGGAACACCGGUGGC
rnacentral:rRNA from 1 species